UAUACUUUAAAAAAGGCUAUAAAGGGGCUAUAAAACCAAAAGUUCUUAAGGGCACGACUAAAGAUUACAGUUCUCCACAGGAUGUCAGUCACUCAAUAGUGCUAAUGUUUUCCUAAGGAGAGAAGAGA
rnacentral:snoRNA from 1 species